GGAGCCUGAUGCAGCAACGCCGCGUGAGGGAUGACGGCCUUCGGGUUGUAAACCUCUUUUAGCAGGGAAGAAGCGAAAGUGACGGUACCUGCAGAAAAAGCGCCGGCUAACUACGUGCCAGCAGCCGCGGUAAUACGUAGGGCGCAAGCGUUAUCCGGAAUUAUUGGGCGUAAAGAGCUCGUAGGCGGUUUGUCGCGUCUGCUGUGAAAUCCCGAGGCUCAACCUCGGGCCUGCAGUGGGUACGGGCAGACUAGAGUGCGGUAGGGGAGAUUGGAAUUCCUGGUGUAGCGGUGGAAUGCGCAGAUAUCAGGAGGAACACCGAUGGCGAAGGCAGAUCUCUGGGCCGUAACUGACGCUGAGGAGCGAAAGGGUGGGGAGCAAACAGGCUUAGAUACCCUGGUAGUCCACCCCGUAAACGUUGGGAACUAGUUGUGGGGACCAUUCCACGGUUUCCGUGACGCAGCUAACGCAUUAAGUUCCCCGCCUGGGGAGUACGGCCGCAAGGCUAAAACUCAAAGGAAUUGACGGGGACCCGCACAAGCGGCGGAGCAUGCGGAUUAAUUCGAUGCAACGCGAAGAACCUUACCAAGGCUUGACAUAUACGAGAACGGGCCAGAAAUGGUCAACUCUUUGGACACUC
rnacentral:rRNA from 1 species